CGCACUUGACAGUACUUACUUGUCAUUUACCAGAGCUGAUCUGACCUUUAUUUAACCUUUUUCAUAUUGUACGGUUCUCCGUGCACGCCAGGACUUGGCGGAAAUGAUUAUCCGCGCGACAUUAGUGAGAAUUAUUGAUCUAUUAUUCAGCGCUCAAAAUGCCCCCUGCUAUUAUCUGCUGAUUAUGCGUGUUGAUUGUACGAAUGCUUCUGUGCCAGUGCUCUAUUGGGAGAGGCACCUGAUCGCGUGUCUCACGUUGAAAAUCGUUAUCUCCCCGCUGAAUUGCGCUCUAUCGACAAAAAUAUCAGACAGAAGGCACCCCCUAAUAAAUCAUUUCGGGAAAACCAACAACUGGGUCAGCUCCAAAAGUAGCACCACCGAUCCCUUCCCAUUAGGCCAUCUCCACGAAGCCGAAUAAAACCCCCCGAGAACCGAUCAAACACCAGAUCAAAGCGCAGUUGAGCACUGGUUCAAUCAACCAACCUCAACUAACCAAUCCCGUAAAAACCACCAGCACCGCCUCCAGCUCGUUUCCCUCCCCGGGAGACCAGCGAAGUCGGUUAAGAGCGGUACGGCGCCGCGGCGACGACAGGCCCCGACCAGGACUCUUGGUCCCUUCGAGCUCCAACCACCGUUCGGCAGGUGUGCGACCGGAAGUCUCCGAAAAGCGGAAAAAACAGUGUGCACGAGCAGAAAUAAGCUCAUCUUUAAAAGAUGACGAAAAGCGGAAGAAAUCCUCAAUUAAGGAUGAUGAAAAGAGGAAAAAAUCCUUAAUUAAGAAUGGGGAAAAAAGUCCCGUCGCAAGACAUCAACCGCGGAGCGGAAAGCUCUUACAAAUCCAGGUCUGACUCGAAAAGUUCAAUAAGCAGCAAGAACGGCCGUCUUCGCGAGACCAGCCUGCCUCCGUACGAUCCUAAACGGCCGUCGCGUAAAACACUGUCGGGUGCCACUAGACGAGGAACAGACGAUUCACUACAGGUUCCAAACAGUGGCUCCGAACUGGCGGUUGCCCAGAACCCUCGCUUAUCGAUUGUCUACUCUGUACCGGUUGACCUCGGCGCCGUCGUGUCUCAACGCAAACUCCAGGAAGCCGAAUGUCUCGUGCAUCAGGUGAGCACACCAGUCCUUCUCCAACUAAAAUGCCUCCUCGUCGGUGAAGCCGACGGGUGCAGCGUUACCUCGCGCUCCUCGAAAAAACGAGACCACAAUCUGCGAACUGGACACCAAACUUCAAGAUAAGACCACACUGGAAGACGAUAAAUGCUGGUUAUCCGAGCAGCUGACCAUGAAGGACUGGCAGAAGCUGAUGCUGGAAUAUGCCGGGUUCGAGCAGCAGAUCAUCGCUGCGCGCAACCGCCGCGGGAUCUGCAGAACCAGAAUAGAAAUCAUGAGUUGUUGAAGUUUCAGGAAGGCCAGUUGCGCGAGUUGAAACUGCUGCGGAAGGAGCAUGGAGAUAAGAUGUCGAAUCGCGCGGCGGGGAUUGCGCUGCUGAGGUAGAAGGUCAGCAGCGAGCAGCUGGGUCCGGAGUAUUCGCUAGACAGAGUGGAUGAAUAAAUUACAGGUAGCCAGCAAUUUGAGCGCGAUUUAGAGAAGACGCUAAGGGAGGUGCAGGCGCUCGUAAUGCAGGUGGAAUCGACCGAUGAGAUUCGGCAGCAUGCGCUGGAGGUGGUACUGCAGAAAGCGCAGAAGCCAGGGCACCAUGGUGUGGAUGAGAACAUCCGGGUGGAGAUUAAGGAAAAAGCACUGGCACAGCUGCUGGGCGAGAAGAAGGAAGUGCGCUCGGUGGAAGACAAAACGGAGGUGAACAAGGCCGACGCGCUGCCAAAGAUACCUUCCGAGUACUGGAGUCCAGAUGUUUAGUUGGGAUUCAAUGCCAAAUAGAGGACAUCGUUUAUUGCAUGGCAACGAGAAGCCUAGCAUCACCAAGCCCAGUCUGAUACGUACGACAUGUACAACCAGUGCUUCGGGCGUUUCUCAGUGAGCAGCACCGGCACAAUCCACCGCGUUAAACCGUAAAAACGCCUGAACUCCGCCCACGAUGGACCGCGACACCCUGCGCCGGAUCACUCGUACUAUAAACAUCUCGCGGGUCGAAAACCAUAGUCGUCUGCAAGAGCUCUGUUCGCUGGAGAUUACGCACAACGCGCUGACGACGGUGGAGGAUUUCGCUCCAUUGAGUUUACUUUGCUCUCGCUCUUUGUCUAUUAACCGAACUAUAAACAGUCUGACAGAAAAAUUAUGCAUGCAGAUGACAAUCUACAGAUACGGAAUAAUAUAAGUUUUUUGGCGAGAACGGUUUGUUCACCCAGCGAAAAGUAAUUUAUAGCAAGGCACCACAGCCACACUCACUGGCUGUA